GUGCAUUAGCGAUAGUAACGACAUCCUUUUUGUUUUACUAAAAAAACAAAAAGAUACAGUGGAUAGCGCGACGCUUU
rnacentral:sRNA from 1 species